AUUGAACGCUGGCGGCAUGCCUUACACAUGCAAGUCGAACGGCAGCACGGGGCAACCUGGUGGCGAGUGGCGAACGGGUGAGUAAUGCAUCGGAACGUACCUUUCAGUGGGGGAUAACGUAGCGAAAGUUACGCUAAUACCGCAUAUUCUGUGAGCAGGAAAGCAGGGGAUCGCAAGACCUUGCGCUGAUUGAGCGGCCGAUGGCAGAUUAGCUAGUUGGUGAGGGAAAGGCUCACCAAGGCGACGAUCUGUAGCGGGUCUGAGAGGAUGAUCCGCCACACUGGAACUGCGACACGGUCCAGAAUCCUACGGGAGGCAGCAGUGGGGAAUUUUGGACAAUGGGGGCAACCCUGAUCCAGCCAUGCCGCGUGAGUGAAGAAGGCCUUCGGGUUGUAAAGCUCUUUCGGCCGGGAAGAAAUCGUAUGGGUUAAUACCCUGUGCGGAUGACGGUACCGGCAUAAGAAGCACCGGCUAACUACGUGCCAGCCGCCGCGGUAA
rnacentral:rRNA from 1 species